rnacentral:piRNA from 1 species
UUGACUCCAUUUCUUUAAAUAUUGCC